UCCACCCGCCUAUCUAUAUAAUAAACCCUCUCUCCGUUCCCAGGAUCUCCAACUUUGCUGCCCUCCCAAUAGAAUAGAAGGAAAGAGUUGGGAGGAUUCUUCUCUCUUUUUUGAUGGCCGCCGUCACCCGAAUUCCUCCGAGAAUAUCCCAACACCUCCUCCGAUCCCUCUCCUCCCUCACCUCGCCCCCGCUAAAUCUGACGGAAAAGCUCCCCGAACCCGCCGACGGUCCGCCGGCCCGGAUCCUGGACCUGACCGACACGGAGAGGCUCUUCGCCGCGGUCCCGACCGGGUCCCUCCUCCGCUCCCUCGCCACCCUCUACGCCUUCGCCUUCGACCCGGUGGUCGACCUGGGAACGGCCGUGAUGCGAUCGAGAGCGGUCCACGCGACCCGGCUCGGCGGCGCGGCUCUCCUCGCGGCGGUCCGGGGGACGGUUUUCCGGCACUUCUGCGCCGGCGAGGGGUUGGAGGAGGCCGGCCGGACGUUGCGGGUGCUCUGGGAGGAGGUCGGGUUGAAGGGGAUCCUGGAUUAUGGGCUGGAGGACGCGUCCGACGGUGCCGCGUGCGACCGGAAUCUGGAUGGGUUUCUACAGACGGUGGAGAUGGCGUCAUCGCUCCCGCCAACCUCGGUGAGUAUCUGUGCGAAGAUCACAGCUCUUUGCCCUAUCUCAUUGCUUGAAAGGGUAAGUGACUUGUUGAGAUGGGAGCAGAAUGACCCAUCAUUCCAUCUUCCAUGGAAGGCCUGCUCUUUUCCCAUCUUCUCCAAAUCCAGCCCUCUCUAUCUGACCCCUUCAAUUCCAGACCCUCUAACAGAAGAAGAAGAGCGUGAACUUCAAUUAGCUCACCAAAGACUGUCAAAGCUCUGCGAACGAUGUUCCGAAGCCAAUCUACCUUUGUUGAUUGAUGCAGAGUAUGCAUCGGUGCAACCCGCAAUAGACUACUUCACUUACAGAGCAGCAAUUCAGUUUAAUCGAGGGGAGCAAACUGUUGUUUAUGGAACAAUUCAGGCAUACUUGAGGGACUCAAAGGAGAGGUUGGUAGAGGUGGUCCAAGCUGCGGAGAGGGAGGGAAUCUCUAUUGGUGUAAAGCUAGUGAGAGGUGCUUAUUUGACGAGGGAGACCCAAUUGGCUUCUUCUUUGGGAGUGCCUUCUCCAAUUCACGAGAACAUUCAGGCAACUCAUAGAUGCUAUAAUGAUUGUGCACUGUUCAUGCUGGAAAGAGUCAGGAGAGGUGCUGGUGCGGUGGUCCUUGCCACCCAUAAUAUUGAAUCUGAUAAGUAUUAAGUGCGAUUCUGGAGCCAAAUGCAAAUCACCAAAACAGUGUUUUAGGAAAAACCGCUGCAGCAAUGGCAGAGGAGUUAGGGAUCAGAAAGGGGAACCAGAACCUACACUUUGCUCAGCUACUGGGGAUGGCAGAUGGGCUCUCUCUGGGCCUCAGAAAUGCAGGAUUCCAAGUGAGCAAGUACCUUCCCUUUGGACCUGUGAACCAAAUUAUUCCUUACCUUCUUAGGAGAGCAGAGGAGAAUAAGGGAUUCCUUUCUUCCUCUGCACUUGACAGACAACUCUUGAGGAUGGAGCUAACAAGGAGAUGUAAGACUGCACUAGUGGGAAGAGUUUAAAGGAUUUAACAAGAAUUCAGGGGAAUGGAAGAUUGUGUAAUUAGGUAUUCUGUCUGAAAUGAGGGUGGGGGUGGAGAGAAGAGGAAAAUAAAUGCUUGUUUAUAUUUGGAGUUGUUGCAGACUUACAUGCGGGGGAAAGGGAAGGAAAAAGAAAAUUAUUUGCUUCAAGAACUUAGGUGUUUUUAUAUAUAGAUGUUCUGCCGUUGCACAUCACAUGUACAUGAGGAUAUAUUAAAAUUUUAGAAUGAAUAUAUGAUUGCAGGGCUCCUUCAUUUCCU